AAAUUCUCAAAAAAAUGAAAACUUUCAAAAAAUAACAGCUUUUAAGAAAAUUAUUGUAAAAUACAAUAUAUUGAUGAAAAAUUCUGAAAGAAUACUCAUCUAUCCACAAAUAUUCUUGUUCUAAUUUCUAAAUCACAAAGACAAAUCUACAAUAUUUCUCAAAAAAAAAUGAAAACUUACCAAAAAUAGCAGUUUUUAUGAAAAAUAUUUAAAAAUACAACCUACUGAUGAAAAACUCUGAAAGAAUACUCAUCUAUCCAGUAAUAUUCUUGUAAUCCUAAUUUCUAAAUCACAAACUCAACUCUAUAAAAGUUCUCAAAAAUCGAAUUUUUUUCAAAAAUAGCAGCUUUUAAGAAAAUUAUUAAAGAUACAAUAUAUUGAUAAAAAAUUCUGAAAGAUUACUUAUCUAUCCACAAAUAUAUAUUUUCUCCUAAUUUAUAAAUCACAAAUCCAAAUCUACAGUAUUUCUCAAAAAAUGAAAAUUUUCCAAAAAUAUCAGUUUUUAUGAAAAUUAUUUAAAAAUACAACCUAUGGAUGGAAAACUCUGAAAGAAUACUCAUCUAUCCACUCAUAUUCUUGUUAUCCUAAUUUAUAAAUAACAAACCCAAAUCUAUAAAAAUCUAUAAAAAAUUCUCAAGAAAAUGAAAACUUUCCAAAAAUAACAGCUUUUAAGAAAAUUAUUUUAAAAUAGAAUAUAUGUAUGAAAAAUUCUGAAAGAAUACUCAUAUAUUCACAAAUAUUCUUGUUAUCCUAAUUUCUAAAUCACAAACCCCAAAUGUACAGUAUUUCUCAUAAAAUUGAAAACUUUCCAAAAAUAGCAGUUUUAAAGAAAAAUAUUUAAAAAUACUAUAUAUUGAUGAAAAAUUCUGAAAGAAUAUUCAUCUAUCCACAAAUAUUGUAGUUAUCCUAAUUUCUAAAUCACAAACCCAAAUCUACAGUAUUUCUCAAGAAAAUGAAAACUUUCUAAAAAAAGCAGUUUUAUUAAAAUUAUUUAAAAAUACAACCUAUUGAUGAAAAACUCUGAAAAAAUACUCAUC
rnacentral:lncRNA from 1 species